rnacentral:lncRNA from 1 species
AUGGCUGUCUCAAAUAAGGGUGGGGAGAACAAGAAGGGCCAUUCUAGGACCAAGGAGGUAGGAAUCCAAGAAUAUACCAUCAACACUCACAAGCACAUCUAUGGAGUGAACACAGAAGCAUGCCACUCAGGCCCUCAAGAAAUCUACAAGUUUGCCACGAAGGAGAUAGGGACUCCAGAUGUGCAUAUUGAUACCAGGCUCCAUAAGGCCAUCUGAGCUAAGGGAAUAAGGAAUGCUCCAUAUAAUAUCCAUGUACAUUUGCCAAGAAAACAUACUGAGGGUGGGGAUUCACCAAAUAAGCUCUACACAUUGGUAAGCCUGUAUCCCUGUUACCAUAUUUUUAAAAAUCUACAGUCAAUGUGAAUGAGAAU